CCUACGGGGGGCUGCAGUGAGGAAUCUUCCACAAUGGGCGAAAGCCUGAUGGAGCAACGCCGCGUGCAGGAUGAAGGCCUUCGGGUCGUAAACUGCUUUUAUAAGUGAAGAAUAUGACGGUAACUUAUGAAUAAGCACCGGCUAACUACGUGCCAGCAGCCGCGGUCAUACGUAGGGUGCAAGCAUUAUCCGGAGUGACUGGGCGUAAAGAGUUGCGUAGGUGGUUUUAUAAGCGAAUAGUGAAAUCUGGUGGCUCAACCAUACAGACUAUUAUUCGAACUGUAAAACUCGAGAGUAGCAGAGGUAACUGGAAUUUCUAGUGUAGGAGUGAAAUCCGUAGAUAUUAGAAGGAACACCAAUGGCGUAGGCAGGUUACUGGGCUAUUUCUGACACUAAGGCACGAAAGCGUGGGGAGCGAACCGGCUUAGAUACCCCGGUAGUC
rnacentral:rRNA from 1 species